rnacentral:lncRNA from 1 species
UCAUUCACGUGACUAGUGUUCUAUAUUCAGAGAUUUUGAUGUGUGAAAUAGAAAAUAAGGAAUCUUAAUAAGUUGCUACCUUCAUAAAAAGUUAACCUUUUAAACCCCUUUGACACAGAAAUGGCACUGGUAUAAACUUCAGCUGUGUUGCUAGCCAUACUAGUUAAAACUCAAAUGCCAGCAUUGCAUACCCUUAUCUUUGCAUCCGCACAUGUUGAUAGCUUAUUGGUGUAUUGCAUUUCUGAGUAAACUUUGCUUCUACUUUCUUUUUAGAGAAAGCAUACAAUAGGAUACCUAAAGAGUUAAUUUGGUGGGUCUUGGAAAAGAAAGUAGUAUCUAGAGUAUGCAUUAACAUGGUGAGAGAUGUGUAUGAGGGAGUGCUAACUAGUGAGAACAACUAGUGGAGAGACAAGUGAGUUUCACUGGUAGUAUGCUUACAUCAAGGUCAAUGUCGAGCCCAUGUCUUUUGUUUUGGUUAUGGACGAGUUAACUAGGCAUCUAUAGGAUGAGGUACCAUGAUGCAUGUUAUUUGCGGAUGACAGAGUUUUGAUUAUUGAGUUUAGAGACAAUAUCAGUGCAAAGUUAGAACUUUGGAGGGAUGUUUUAGAACCUAAAGGUUUUAAAAUUAACAAGACUAAGACACAAUAUAUGGAAUGCAAGUUUAGUUAUAAUAAAAAUAGAAACAAGGAAUUAGUUAAGAUUGAUGGCGGAGAAGUACCUAAAAGAAGAGAUUAUUGUCAAUAUAUUGGGUCAAUAAUCCAUGAGAACGGUGAAACUGAGAAAGAUAUCGUGCAUAAAAUUAAAGCUGGGUGGACGAAGUAGAGAUGUGCUUCUGGAGUCUUAUGUGAUCGUUGCAUACCAAUGAAGCUGAAGUGAAAAUUGUAUAGGACAGCUGUAGGACCGGCCAUGCUUUACGGGACGAAAUAUUGGGCGGUCAAGAAAAUCAUAUUCACAAAAUGAGUGUAGCUGAAAUGAGGAUGUUGAGAUGGAUGAGUUGUAAGACAAGAAAGGAUAGAUUUCAAAAUGAAUAUAUCCGAGGGAACUUAAGGAUGGUUCCAUUAGGCGAUAAAAUGAGGGAAAGUAGACUUAGGAGGUCUGGCCAUAUACAACAUUGACCUAGAACAACAUUGGUUCAAGUGAAAGGCUCUAAAAGGGUAAGUAGAAGGCCCAAAAUAACAUGGAUGGAAGUAGUGCAAAGAGAUAUGGUGAACUAUGGUCUGAUUGAGGAUAUGACCUAUGAAAGAGCGGAAUGGUGGAACAAGAUUCAUGUAGCCGAUCUCAAAUAGUUGGGAUAAGGCUCGGAUGAUGAUGAUGACAAUGACAUUCCAUUUAGUACCAAUAAGCAAGAUGCAUCUUCCUUAACUUCAUGGAUCAACCUUUCCAAUGAUAGAUGUCUCCUCUAGGUUCUUAUGUUCUAAAGGGAGCUAGGUAUGCACCAAGACAUCAAUAUUGUCAUCCUUUUCAUGGAUUAUCCUCGUCUUUGUUUACAAAAACCCAAGCCUCCAACAGUUUUUCCUCCUUUUAAUGCUUCCCAGAUCAGAGUAAAUCAGAGAUUUAAGACCAUAUAUUUUGGGGGUUCAUCUUUCUAGGAAACUUUCAGUUUUUGGCUCUCUCUCUCAAAAAACCUGCAUACAGAAGGUUCUAUUUUCUUUACAAAACCAGCAACUUUAGGGCAAACUACCAAAUUUUGGAGUGGACGUAAAGUUAAGCAGCUUCGUGAGGGGAAGAAGUCUGCUGUGCAGCGUUAUAGAGGGGGUCUCAUUCCCUCCCCAUUUGCAUUGGCCUGAUGUCCUCCCCUCUGAAACAAGAAGAAAUCCAUGAAGGAUAUGUGGAGGGAUUGCCUGCCCUUUUCUCCACUAGAAGGAAGAGAGAGAGAGAGAGAGAGAGAGAGGAUUUAGACCUCUGAAUUUCCAUGUUCUCUCUUGCUCCUGACUGAGGUGAUUCCUCAUACUAAUUUGAGACUUGGGAAUUGCCUGAUGCUGGCCGUUUGAGUUCACCUGAGGGGGAUUCCUUGUACAAGAGUCAUAUGGAAAUCAGGACUCCCCAAUCUGGGUUGACUUGGGUGAUUUGGAGUCAAGUUUCCCUAGUUGACCUAAUGAUUUUUGAAUUAUUGUAACUAUAAUUUAUUAGUGUUUGUAGGUGUGUGCUAUUACCAGUGGAUGCCUCAUGCCUAUAACUUUUCCGCAUUGGUGGAGGGCUUCUUUAGAAAGAGAAGUUUGAUCAAUUCCUAGGAUUGGAUCAAGUGAGAAUUUAUCUGAAAAGCUUUUACUUGGAGGGAAUCACUUUCACAUGAUACAAUUAUACGCAAACAAUUAUUACCAGUGGAUGCCUCAUGCCUAUAGCUUUUCCGCAACAGUGGAGCCUUCUUUAGAAAGAGAAGUUUGAUCAAUUCCUAGGAUUGUAUCAAGUGAGAAUUUAUUUGAAAAGCUUUUCCUUGGAGGGAAUCACUUUCACAUGAUACAAUUAUACACAAACACCGCAAGUGGUGAGAUGUAAAAUUGGAUGGCUGGGUGUGUUGUUAGCAUCAAAAUUGAGAUGAGAAGAUUUUCUGGGGGCGUCAAAUCAAUGGCAUACCUCGAGCUGCUUGAUUUCAUGUAUGAUGUUUAGAUAGCCACGACCUUUUUGUACCAAAGUAAACAACUUUAUCAUUUACCUUUUGUUUGGAAAAAAAAUUCAGCCUGAACUUUAUAGGCCUACAAUUGAGAGUGCAAGCCCUGUGUGGCCUUAAGUGUCGCCGGUACCAUCUUUUUGUUUCUCUUACUAGUUGGAGAUUGUUGCCCGUUCUGGCAGUGAUUUGUCUGCAUAGCUGAUUUUCUAAUUGAUAUAUUUAUCUUCUUAUUUAUGGAAUUUUUCUUAGAGGUUGCUGUUUUGUGUUAAUUUUGGACAAGCUUAGGAGCCGAUAAGAUACAGUGCUAUUGUUUGUUUCCGGUAAAGAAAGGAUUUGGAGACGAGAUUAGGUUGAUACUGUGCCAAAGCAUUUCUAUUGUAUAUUCACUUACUUGGGUACAACCUUAUGUAGGAGUACGUUUAGGACAGUAAAUUUUUAUGAUGUAACCUUCUUGACUUAGAGACAAUCUCAAAUUAUUAUUAUUAUUUUUUUAAAAAAGGAAAUUUGAACAGACUUUAUGUACCUGAGAAGGAUGAUGUCUCUAAAAUUGCAUUGAAUAUAGACUAUACAAAUUUGAUUAGUUAGAUUUAAGCGUUUAUGCACUCAAAAUUAUUUCUUAGUGGAUCCCAAAAUUCCAUACAAAAACCGGCCUCCUAAGUAGAUCUUUUACACAGAGGAGUAAGAGUAAGUGUAUAAUGGCUCCACGGGAGCAUAGACCUGGUUAUAUACAAUUAGAUAUUUGAAAAGCACUCGAAGCGUGCCUUGUGUGAGUGAGAAACACAGUUGAAAAAAGAGAAACAAUCUGCACCAAUAAAUGGUCAAAGAUCUUCGCCCACUGUCAUACACGUAUAUAUUAUACAAAUGGGUGCCGUUUGCAUAAGGUGUCAACAUCAAACAAUUUCAUCAAGGUCUACCUUUAAAUUUAUCGAAAGAUGUAGUUUUACUGUUGGAAAUUUCAAUUAUAACUUGAAAAUCUAUAUCGCAUCUAAUUAUGAUUUUAAAACUAAAAAAUUAGUGUGGAUCAAGGAGACCUACAAACACUUAGAAAAAUAUGAAAAUAGAGAAUCUAGAUAAUGUGUUACAAGAUGAAUCUUUUUUAGUACAUAUGACCAUCCUUUGAUUACCUUAUAUAUAAUUCAUUAAUUUGAAGUUGAUUACCUUAUAUAUGAUUCAUUAAUUUGAAGU